rnacentral:rRNA from 1 species
GACGAACGCUGGCGGCGUGCCUAAUACAUGCAAGUUGAGCGAUGAAGAUUGGUGCUUGCACCAAUUUGAAGAGCAGCGAACGGGUGAGUAACGCGUGGGGAAUCUGCCUUUGAGCGGGGGACAACAUUUGGAAACGAAUGCUAAUACCGCAUAACAACUUUAAACAUAAGUUUUAAGUUUGAAAGAUGCAAUUGCAUCACUCAAAGAUGAUCCCGCGUUGUAUUAGCUAGUUGGUGAGGUAAAGGCUCACCAAGGCGAUGAUACAUAGCCGACCUGAGAGGGUGAUCGGCCACAUUGGGACUGAGACACGGCCCAAACUCCUACGGGAGGCAGCAGUAGGGAAUCUUCGGCAAUGGACGAAAGUCUGACCGAGAAACGCCGCGUGAGUGAAGAAGGUUUUCGGAUCGUAAAACUCUGUUGGUAGAGAAGAACGUUGGUGAGAGUGGAAAGCUCAUCAAGUGACGGUAACUACCCAGAAAGGGACGGCUAACUACGUG